rnacentral:rRNA from 1 species
UACAGAGGUCUCAAGCGUUGUUCGGAUUCAUUGGGCGUAAAGGGUGCGUAGGUGGCGCUGUAAGUCGGGUGUGAAAUUUCGGAGCUCAACCCCGAAACUGCACUUGAUACUGCGGUGCUCGAGUACUGGAGAGGAGAUUGGAAUUUACGGUGUAGCAGUGAAAUGCGUAGAUAUCGUAAGGAAGACCAGUGGCGAAGGCGAAUCUCUGGACAGUUACUGACACUGAGGCACGAAGGCCAGGGGAGCAAACGGG